UACUAGAGUAGCACUCGCAUAUCAAUAAGCGGAGGAAAAGAAACUAACAAGGAUUCCCCUAGUAACGGCGAGUGAAGCGGGAAGAGCUCAAAUUUGAAAUCUUAAAGGGUUUCCCUUUACGAAUUGUAGUUUAAAGAAGUGUUUUCUGUUGAGGUUUUGGUAAAAGUUCUUUGGAAUAGGACAUCAUAGAGGGUGAGAAUCCCGUAUUUGACCUUUACUUUCAACUUUGUGAUACACUUUCAAAGAGUCGGAUUGUUUGGGAAUGCAGUCCAAAAUGGGUGGUAAAUUUCAUCUAACGCUAAAUAUUGGCGAGAGACCGAUAGCGAACAAGUACCGUGAGGGAAAGAUGAAAAGAACUUUGAAAAGAGAGUUAAACAGUACGUGAAAUUGUCAAAAGGGAAGCGUUUGACACCAGUGUUGUUUUUCUGAAAAUCAAUUAAAGAACUGUUUAUGCUAAGCUGUUUAGACUUUAUCAGCUAUCUGUUUAGUUUUGAGCUUUUCUUUAAUGCACUUUUCAGUUAACAAGUCAACAUCAAUUUCUUUUGCUGUAAAAAAGCUUGAGGAAGGUGGCUUGAGAUUCGUCUUAAGUGUUUAUAGCCUCUUGCCUAUGCAGUCGGAGAGAUUGAGGUCUGCAGCGUAGAUCCUUCGGGGCUAAAUGCAUUUGUGCUAAGUUAUAGCAUUUUAUAGACAACUUGUUGACUAUGAUUUGUCUUGUAGCUUACUCGCUUAUGUUAUUUUACCUACGCUUAGGAUGUUGAGCGCAUGUCUCUCUCU
rnacentral:rRNA from 1 species